rnacentral:rRNA from 1 species
AGUGAACGCUGGCGGUAGGCCUAACACAUGCAAGUCGAACGGCAGCACAGUAAGAGCUUGCUCUUACGGGUGGCGAGUGGCGGACGGGUGAGGAAUACAUCGGAAUCUACUUUUUCGUGGGGGAUAACGUAGGGAAACUUACGCUAAUAGCAUACGACCUACGGGUGAAAGCAGGGGAUCUUCGGACCUUGCGCGAUUGAAUGAGCCGAUGUCGGAUUAGCUAGUUGGCGGGGUAAAGGCCCACCACGGCGACGAUCCGUAGCUGGUCUGAGAGGAUGAUCAGCCACACUGGAACUGAGACACGGUCCAGACUCCUACGGGAGGCAGCAGUGGGGAAUAGUGGACAAUGGGCGCAAGCCUGAUCCAGCCAUACCGCGUGGGUGAAGAAGGCCUUCGGGUUGUAAAGCCCUUUUGUUGGGAAAGAAAAGCAGCAGGUUAAUACCCCGCUGUUCUGACGGUACCCAAAGAAUAAGCACCGGCUAACUUCGUG